UCCCUGGCAGUCCAGUGGUCAGGACUCCAUUCUUUCACUGUGGAGGCCCAGGUUCCAUCCCUGGCUGGGGAA